CCUGGCUCAGGAUGAAUGCUGGCGGCGUGCCUAAUACAUGCAAGUCGAGCGGUAACAGGGCUUCACCGUUCCUUGACACACCUAGCGCUAUAUCGUAGGUUGGUUAGAUCGAGGGAACAGUGAAGCUGCUGACGAGCGGCGGACGGCUGAGUAACGCGUGGGAACGGACCCCAAACUGAGGGAUAACUAGUCGAAAGAUUAGCUAAUACCGCAUGUGAUCUUCGGAUUAAAGGAUUUAUCCGGUUUGGGACUGGCCUGCGUACGAUUAGAUAGUUGGUAGGGUAACGGCCUACCAAGUCGACGAUCGUUAGAUGGUUUGAGAAGAUAAUCAUCCAGACUGGGACUGAGACACGGCCCAGACUCCUACGGGAGGCAGCAGUAGGGAAUCUUUCACAAUGGGCGAAAGCCUGAAUGGAGCAACGCCGCGUGCAGGAUGACGGCCUUCGGGUUGUAAACUGCUUUUAUAAGCGAGAAAUAUGAUGGUAACUUAUGAAUAAGGACCGGCUAACUACGUGCCAGCCGCUGC
rnacentral:rRNA from 1 species